rnacentral:rRNA from 1 species
CUCGUAGGCGGUUCGUCGCGUCCGGUGUGAAAGUCCAUCGCUUAACGGUGGAUCCGCGCCGGGUACGGGCGGGCUUGAGUGCGGUAGGGGAGACUGGAAUUCCCGGUGUAACGGUGGAAUGUGUAGAUAUCAGGAAGAACACCAAUGGCGAAGGCAGGUCUCUGGGCCGUUACUGACGCUGAGGAGCGAAAGCGUGGGGAGCAACA